rnacentral:lncRNA from 1 species
AGUUCUAUUUUAAAUUGAGCUCCACUUACUUGUUGCAUUUUAAGCACAGAAAAAUAUUCCAGUCGUGUUUCAAGCUUGCAUAAAAUGUCGAUUGUAUUUUGAGGAUGGCUCAUUUUUUUUUAUGGCUCAAGCUUAAUUUUUAAAUCGCUUGCGCCACUUGAACUACGACGAUGUGACGUUGUACAAGCAUUCAAAUUAUAAAUGCAUAAACAGAAUCUGUGCAAUUUACUAAUCGACCUGAAAAUCGUUGAUCAGAAUAUAUGAGGACUGCAGGUAUAGGGGACCAUUUGAUUAGUUGGCGUUUUUCUGUUUGAAUUCUUAAUUCUUUGAGUUUUCUAAUAAUGAUAGAGACGCCUAGCGAGUGAAGAAUUUUAAUAGAUUACAUUUUGCAAUGAAAGAAAUGGGAAUAAAAGAUAAAUGUGAUCGCAGAUAUUUACAUGAAAAUACGAAGGGAACCUUUUGAAAACUGAAAUUGUGAGAAUGUUGUUGUGGAGCCAACUUCAAUUUUUGUUUGUUUUUAAAUAUCUCCCAUUAAAAAAUUCAUUGUGAUGAGAGAUUUCUAGAAUUUCAGUUAAUAAACGAUGCAGUUACUAUCAACGAAAUUAAACUUGCAUUAUUUCUUACUCAUCAAGUGAAAUAUACACAGCAGAAAAUGCACGUGCCUUGAUUAAGAUCGGCCUUGGCGGGGCCACUGUCGACUCUACUAGUUUUUAAACAUUAAAAAAAUGCAGCAUUCAGAGGCGUUGUUGCUGCUGCUGAUGGCAUCUGAAUGGAGCAAUACUUUCUUCAACAACAAGUAUUCAGCGCCCCAGCAAUACUGCGAGAUUCUCCUGCUACUUCCAAUACUUCCACCCACACAUGCAUGGGCAGUGGCAUCUCUCUUGGUGACAUUAGCUCGCACCAGGCAUAAGGAUUUCUCCUCCCGUUGUGAAGAUCCUAGCGUCUUUGAACUUCCCAACGUUCGAUGCUUCCUACACGGCGGCCAGGUUAAGCUUCCGACAAUCCAGAAUUAUAGAAAACAAGGUUUUUUAAUGGCCAUAAUAAUCAAUUUUGUGAAUUUGCCCUCAGAAGUUUUUGAUGCGAUGUACAGAAAUUUUAUACACAUGGUCUACCAUAUUUAUGACAUCGCAGUUAUUUUUAUUUCUCAAUGAACAGGUGAAUUAAUUUCUUAUGGGAUGAGCUAAUGUAUAUAUGUAGUCAAGAACUACCUAAACAAUUCUCAUACGUAUUUAUUCAAUAUGACCGCCUUUAUUUUUAAUGACGGCCUCCAACCUACAAUGGAAAGCUUCACAAGAGAAUCGCAGCAUUCCUUGAGGGAUCAUUUCCCAUUCUCGUUUCAAUUUAGACUUCAAACUAUCCAAAGAGUCAUGAGAUGUUCUGCAGACCCUCCUCUCUAAAAUAGCCCAAAU